UUCGGCUAGGGGGCCAUCCCGGCUUACCAACCCGAUGCAAACUGCGAAUACCGGAGAAUGUUAUCACGGGAGACACACGGCGGGUGCUAACGUCCGUCGUGAAGAGGGAAACAACCCAGACCGCCAGCUAAGGUCCCAAAGUCAUGGUUAAGUGGGAAACGAUGUGGGAAGGCCCAGACAGCCAGGAUGUUGGCUUAGAAGCAGCCAUCAUUUAAAGAAAGCGUAAUAGCUCACUGGUCGAGUCGGCCUGCGCGGAAGAUGUAACGGGGCUAAACCAUGCACCGAAGCUGCGGCAGCGACACUCAGGUGUUGUUGGGUAGGGGAGCGUUCUGUAAGCCUGUGAAGGUGUGUCGUGAGGCAUGCUGGAGGUAUCAGAAGUGCGAAUGCUGACAUAAGUAACGAUAAAGCGGGUGAAAAGCCCGCUCGCCGGAAGACCAAGGGUUCCUGUCCAACGUUAAUCGGGGCAGGGUGAGUCGACCCCUAAGGCGAGGCCGAAAGGCGUAGUCGAUGGGAAACGGGUUAAUAUUCCCGUACUUGGUGUUACUGCGAAGGGGGGACGGAGAAGGCUAUGUUGGCCGGGCGACGGUUGUCCCGGUUUAAGCGUGUAGGUGUGUGUUCCAGGUAAAUCCGGUUCACUUUAACACUGAGGCGUGAUGACGAGGCACUACGGUGCUGAAGCAACAAAUGCCCUGCUUCCAGGAAAAGCCUCUAAGCAUCAGGUAACAUCAAAUCGUACCCCAAACCGACACAGGUGGUCAGGUAGAGAAUACCAAGGCGCUUGAGAGAACUCGGGUGAAGGAACUAGGCAAAAUGGUGCCGUAACUUCGGGAGAAGGCACGCUGACAUGUAGGUGAAGUGAUUUACUCAUGGAGCUGAAGUCAGUCGAAGAUACCAGCUGGCUGCAACUGUUUAUUAAAAACACAGCACUGUGCAAACACGAAAGUGGACGUAUACGGUGUGACGCCUGCCCGGUGCCGGAAGGUUAAUUGAUGGGGUCAGCGCAAGCGAAGCUCCUGAUCGAAGCCCCGGUAAACGGCGGCCGUAACUAUAACGGUCCUAAGGUAGCGAAAUUCCUUGUCGGGUAAGUUCCGACCUGCACGAAUGGCGUAAUGAUGGCCAGGCUGUCUCCACCCGAGACUCAGUGA
rnacentral:rRNA from 1 species